CCCACCGUACAAAAUCUGGGAACCAUUCAGGUUUUGUACCCCAUUAUCUAAUAGUGGAGAUGUUAUAAUUUAUUGAAUCUGAAACAAUUGAUUAAACUCCACUAAUGGAGAAUAAAUACACUCCAUGAAAGGAGGCACAAUCAACUCCAUGAAGGAGGAAGAAAACUCAAUGGAAGGAGAACAUUAAACUCUCCAUAAAAGGAGGAAUGGAAACUCCAUAAUAGGAGAAAAUGAAACCUCCAUAAGGAAGGAUUGGAAGACUAUACUCCAAUGAGUUAACAAUGCAUACAAGUGCUCUAUUUAUAGAGCAAAACUAACUAACUAAGGAGGCAAUACGUAUGGAAGAAGAAGUCUCUAGAAUCUGCAUGCUGAACUGGAGGGAAUAUUUUGGUGGAAUCUGGUGAUGCACACUACACCGGUGAAGUUAACUGGAAGUGAUGAAUGUUUGGUUCCAACACACCCCCUCAAGAUGGACUUGGAUCCAUCUUGAAGAUGAGUUGUGAAUCAUCAACCAUGUAACAACAACAACAUAUUGAAGUUCAAGUAGAUGCUAUUACUCCAGAUCCUUCAAGUGGUAAGGCUGGUUUACAGAUCCAAGUGUUCCACGCAUUUCAGUUGGAGAGAUCUCAGAUAUAUUAAGUGGCAGUAUCUCAGAUGAUAUAGAAUCUCCACCUCCACUGCACGUAUUAGACUCUGAGGAGAGGGCAGAUCUUGGAUCGAAGAAAUUGAGCCACAACACUCAUGACUCUCAUAAAGUAUUUGCAGAAGAGUAGCUUUGUCGAACAUUUCAUCAAGCACCUUGUGUGCAUACAAGAACUUCGAAUUUUCUCUGAUAGAUGUUUAGAUCUUCCACAGCACCAAGAACUCCUGAGUCAUAUGUGAACCAAAUAGAAAGUAUUUCAAUAGAAGAUAUCAUCAGAUCAAAUGAGUGAACAACUAGGGGGAAGCAAAAUGAAGCCGGACAGAUCUUCGAGUUUGCUGUGUUCUGCCAUUUUUCUACCUAAUAUCAUUGCACAGAUCAUUGAACCAGACUUCCAAACAAAUCAGCAAUUACAGCAGGAUUACGAGGAUCAUCUUCAGGAAUUCCCUGCUCUUGUAUCCUCCAAGGAAUUCAAUUGUGCAUUCAGCUCUGUAUCGGCAAGAGCAUCGAGAUUUCUUCAACCUGAUGUCCAGUGGCAAAUGGACUAAAUUCUGAAUUCUGGUUGAAAUUGUCAGCUCAACGAUUUUAUAGAAUCCAGAAGAAAACGAAGAGAAUUGCAAAAAAAAUUGAGGCAGACAGAUCUGGAGAAGAGCUGGAAAUUAUUCACUAAAUGAAUAUUAGAUCAAGCAACAGAUUUAUUGAAUCUGUGAAGAGAUGAAGACGUUCCUGUUGUUGCUACAAAGAUGAACAUCUCAUUUAUUCGGCAGAAGGCAACAAUAGUAAUGAUGUGGAUGAAUUAUGAUCUGAAGUCAAAGAUAAUACAGCAGCAGGAAGCUUUCAUUGCUCUGAUACCAUGUUACAAUUUAUUGAAUCUGAAACAAUUGAUUAAACUCCAUUAAUGGAGAACAAAUACACUCCAUGAAAGGAGGCACAAUCAACUCCUUUAUGGAGGAAGAAAACUCCAUGAAAGGAGAACAUUAAACUCUCCAUAAAAGGAGGAAUGGAAACUCCAUAAUAGGAGAAAAUGAAACCUCCAUAAGGAAGGAUUGGAAGACUAUACUCCAAUGAGUUAACAAUGCAUACAAGUGCUCUAUUUAUAGAGCAAAACUAACUAACUAAGGAGGCAAUACGUAUGGAAGAAGAAGUCUCUAGAAUCUGCAUGCUGAGCUGGAGGGAAUAUUCUGGUGGAAUCUGGUGAUGCACACUACACACGUGAAGUUAACUGGAAGUGAUGAAUGUUUGGUUCC
rnacentral:lncRNA from 1 species